GACGAACGCUGGCGGCGUGCUUAACACAUGCAAGUCGAGCGGAAAGGCCACUUCGGUGGUACUCGAGCGGCGAACGGGUGAGUAACACGUGAGUAAUCUGCCCCUGGCUCUGGGAUAGCCACCGGAAACGGUGAUUAAUACCGGGUACGACCACUUCUCGCAUGGGAUGGUGGUGGAAAGUUUUUUCGGCCAGGGAUGUGCUCGCGGCCUAUCAGCUUGAUGGUGAGGUAAUGGCUCACCAUGGCUUCGACGGGUAGCCGGCCUGAGAGGGUGACCGGUCACACUGGGACUGAGACACGGCCCAGACUCCUACGGGAGGCAGCAGUGGGGAAUAUUGGACAAUGGGCGGAAGCCUGAUCCAGCAACGCCGCGUGAGGGAUGACGGCCUUCGGGUUGUAAACCUCUUUCGGCAGGGACGAAGCGCAAGUGACGGUACCUGCAGAAGAAGCACCGGCCAACUACGUGCCAGCCGCCGCAGUAA
rnacentral:rRNA from 1 species